rnacentral:rRNA from 1 species
UACGUAGGGGGGCGAGCGUUGUCCGGAUUCAUUGGGCGUAAAGCGCUUUAAGGCGGUUCGGUAAGUCGGACGUGAAAUCCCCCGGCUCAACCGGGGAACUGCGUCCGAUACUGGUGGGCUCGAAUCCGGGAGAGGGAUGUGGAAUUCCGAGGUGUAGCGGUGAAAUGCGUAGAUAUCUGGAGGAACACCGGUGGCGAAGGCGGCGAUCCUGGACCG